rnacentral:rRNA from 1 species
UAGACCUGUAUGAAAGGCAAAAUGAGAGUCCAACUGUCUCUUAUAACAAAUCAAUUAAACUGAUCUCCUAGUACAAAAGCUAGAAUAUUAACAUAAGACCAGAAGACCCUGUGAAGCUUUAACUAACCUAUUAAACCAAAUAAUAGCUACUUUCGGUUGGGGCGACCUUGGAAUAAAAAAGAACUUCCAAUAUAUGACUUCCUCAUAAAACCAAGGCGAACAAGCCAAUAUUAGACCCAGUAAAGCUGAUAAUCGAAAUAAGUUACUCCAGGGAUAACAGCGCUAUCUUCUUUAAGAGCCCAUAUCAAAAAGAAGGUUUACGACCUCGAUGUUGGAUCAGGACAUCCAAGUAAUGCAGCCGUUACUAAAGGUUCGUUUGUUCAACGAUUAACAGUCCUA